AUUGAACGCUGGCGGCAGGCCUAACACAUGCAAGUCGAGCGAGCGGCGGACGGGUGAGUAAUGUAUGGGGACUGCCCGAUAGAGGGGGAUAACUACUGGAAACGGUGGCUAAUACCGCAUACUAUCGGAUAACCCAUAUGGGAUUAGCUAGUAGGUGGGGUACAGGCUAACCUAGGCGACGAUCUCGAGCUGGUCUGAGAGGAUGAUCAGCCACACUGGGACUGAGACACGGCCCAGACUCCUACGGAGGCAGCCUGGGGGAAUAUUGCACAAUUGGCGCAAGCCUGAUGCAGCCAUGCCGCGUGUAUGAAGGAGGCCUUAGGGUUGUAAAGUUCUUUCAGCGGGGAGGCGUUACCCGCAGAAGAAGCACCGGCUAACUCCGUGCCAGCAGCCGCGGUAAUUC
rnacentral:rRNA from 1 species